UAUCUAGGGUUUUUUCCCACUUUCUCAUCCGCGACUCUGCUCCUCCCGCCGUCUCUUUCCUGCAACCCCUCCUUCUACGGCUCUUCUCCUCGCCGGCUCUUCUCCUCUGACAACUCUCCUUCCCGUCGACUCUUCUCCCAUGAUUGCUUUACUGCUCAUGUUCUCGUGAUUGCUCCCGCACCAUUGGUGCUACAACUCUUCUCCUCCUCGCCAUCUCUUUAUUUCUUUUUUUAUUGCUUCGUAGAGAGUCUUCCUGUGGUGAAGACAGUGGUUUUUUAUGUAUUCUUUUUUUUUUCUAUGAUCAUCUUAUCGUUUUAAAGGUUCGGGCCUUUUGUGGCAUUGCGUGUUCUUAAAGUUGAGUGAAGAGGAGUUGUGUUUUAAGAUGUAUAAAGUAUUAUGUAGAAACUUUGGAACCAUUUUUACAAAAUUUUAACAGUAUUUUUGAUUAACUAUUCCAAAAUUCAUGGAUUCUCAAUAUGUAGUUCAACUUGGGAACCUUGCAUUUGAUUUAAUCUCAUACUGCCGCUGGUUUGCUUUUGUAGGAUUUUUUUUUUCUAUGAAGUGCCUCACGGUGCGAUGCAAGCAUACAGAGAAGCCGUGGAAACCCAAUGGAUUCAUUACAAACAACUUGUUAAUUCUGUGCAUCAGAAAGAGUGCGAGACAUCUCUUUGUAAUUCAAUUGCAGGUGAAUAUGUUGAGGAUGUAUAUAAAGAAGAGGAAGGUGAAAUUGACACUUAUCUUCUGCCUAUAAAAUUUGAAGAUGGCCCAUCAUCAAGGCUUGCUCACAAGAAAAGAAAGCAUAUGAGGCAAAAAUGAGAUCUAUGGUCAGAGUUCAUUACAUGUGUAUCUAUGGCCAAGAAAAAUAUGGGAGUUGAAACUAUUGCAGACUUGGAUAGGCAGUUGCCAUUUGAAGGUAAUUAUUGAUAUUGCUAGUUCUGAAGCUGGAAUUAUUCAGAAGUUCAUUGCCAAAGAAGGCGAUACAGUGACUCCUGGGACCAAAACUGCUGUUAUCUCUAAGUCUGCUCCUACUAACACUCAUGUGGCACUAUCAAAUGAGAUGGUAAGGAUACUUCACCUGUUGUUCCCGUCCAGAAGAACAAUGAUACACAAGUGCCAAAAGUGGAAGCUUCCGUUAAAGAGAAGUCAACUAAUUUAUAGUAUUAUAUAUAUAUAUAUAUAUAUAUAUUAAUCAACUUAAGUUUAAUCGUUAUUAUAUAUGUACUAGCUAGUUUGUUAGAGAUUCAUAUGUUGUUUUGGAUCUUCAGUCCUUUUAUUUUAGUAUAAUAAAAAAUAAUGACUUUUAUUAA